UGGGGAAUCUUGCGCAAUGGGGGCAACCCUGACGCAGCGACGCCGCGUGCGGGACGGAGGCCUUCGGGUCGUAAACCGCUUUCAGCAGGGAAGAGACGAGACUGUACCUGCAGAAGAAGCCCCGGCUAACUACGUGCCAGCAGCCGCGGUAAUACGUAGGGGGCGAGCGUUAUCCGGAUUCAUUGGGCGUAAAGCGCGCGUAGGCGGCCCGGCAGGCCGGGGGUCGAAGCGGGGGGCUCAACCCCCCGAAGCCCCCGGAACCUCCGCGGCUUGGGUCCGGUAGGGGAGGGUGGAACACCCGGUGUAGCGGUGGAAUGCGCAGAUAUCGGGUGGAACACCGGUGGCGAAGGCGGCCCUCUGGGCCGAGACCGACGCUGAGGCGCGAAAGCUGGGGGAGCGAACAGGA
rnacentral:rRNA from 1 species